rnacentral:rRNA from 1 species
UAGGGAAUCUUCCACAAUGGACGCAAGUCUGAUGGAGCAACGCCGCGUGAGUGAAGAAGGUUUUCGGACCGUAAAGCUCUGUUGUUGGUGAAGAAGGAUAGAGGUAGUAACUGGCCUUUAUUUGACGGUAAUCAACCAGAAAGUCACGGCUAACUACGUGCCAGCAGCCGCGGUAAUACGUAGGUGGCAAGCGUUGUCCGGAUUUAUUGGGCGUAAAGCGAGCGCAGGCGGAAGAAUAAGUCUGAUGUGAAAGCCCUCGGCUUAACCGAGGAAUUGCAUCGGAAACUGUUUUCUUGAGUGCAGAAGAGGAGAGUAGAACUCCAUGUGUAGCGGUGGAAUGCGUAGAUAUAUGGAAGAAUACCAGUGGCGAAGGCGGCUCUCUGGUCUGCAACUGACGCUGAGGCUCGAAAGCAUGGGUAGCGAACAGGAUUAGAUACCCUUGGUAGUCCAUGCCGUAAACGAUGAGUGCUAAGU